rnacentral:siRNA from 1 species
GCAGCAAUUUCAGAAUAGGUGAUC